AAACAAUUAGUUCAGUUGGUAGAGCGUUUCGCUUACAACGAAAAAGUCAUUGGUUCGAAUCCAAUAUUGUUUA
rnacentral:tRNA from 1 species